rnacentral:rRNA from 1 species
UGGGGAAUUUUGGACAAUGGGCGCAAGCCUGAUCCAGCAAUGCCGCGUGCAGGAUGAAGGCCUUCGGGUUGUAAACUGCUUUUGUACGGAACGAAACGGCUCCUAUUAAUACUGGGGGCUAAUGACGGUACCGUAAAAAUAAGCACCGGCUAACUACGUGCCAGCAGCCGCGGUAAUACGUAGGGUGCGAGCGUUAAUCGGAAUUACUGGGCGUAAAGCGUGCGCAGGCGGUUAUAUAAGACAGAUGUGAAAUCCCCGGGCUCAACCUGGGACCUGCAUAUGUGACUGUAUAGCUAGAGUACGGUAGAGGGGGAUGGAAUUCCGCGUGUAGCAGUGAAAUGCGUAGAUAUGCGGAGGAACACCGAUGGCGAAGGCAAUCCCCUGGACCUGUACUGACGCUCAUGCACGAAAGCGUGGGGAGCAAACAGGAUUAGAUACCCUCGUAGUCCCUGAGCGGGCUGGCAAGGCGCAU